AUUGAACGCUGGCGGCAGGCCUAACACAUGCAAGUCGAACGCGUGGCGGACGGGUGAGUAAUGUCUGGUAAACUGCCCGAUGGAGGGGGAUAACUACUGGAAACGGUAGCUAAUCCCGCCUACCAUCGGAUUUGCCCAGAUGGGAUUAGCUUGUAGGUGAGGUAACGGAUCACCUAGUCGACUAUCCCUAGCUGGUCUGAGAGGAUGACCAGCCACACGGGAACUGAGACACGGUCAAGACGCCGACGGGAGGCAGCAGUGGGGAAUAGGGCACAAUGGGCGCAAGCCUGAUGCAGCCAUGCCGCGUGUAUGAAGAAGGCCUUCGGGUUGUAAAGUACUGUCAGCGGGGAGGCGUUACCCGCAGAAGAAGCACCGGCUAACUCCGUGCCAGCCGCAGCGGGAAUGC
rnacentral:rRNA from 1 species